AAGCAUCGGCUAACUCCGUGCCAGCAGCCGCGGUAAUACGGAGGAUGCGAGCGUUAUCCGGAUUUAUUGGGUUUAAAGGGCGCGUAGGCGGGACGCCAAGUCAGCGGUAAAAGACUGCAGCUAAACUGUAGCACGCCGUUGAAACUGGCGACCUGGAGACGAGACGAGGGAGGCGGAACAAGUGAAGUAGCGGUGAAAUGCUUAGAUAUCACUUGGAACCCCGAUAGCGAAGGCAGCUUCCCAGGCUCGAUCUGACGCUGAUGCGCGAGAGCGUGGGUAGCGAACAGGAUUAGAUACCCUGGUAGUCCACGCCGUAAACGAUGCUCACUGGAUCUUGGCGAUACACCGCCAGGGUUCAAGCGAAAGUAUUAAGUGAGCCACCUGGGGAGUACGUCGGCAACGAUGAAACUCAAAGGAAUUGACGGGGGCCCGCACAAGCGGAGGAACAUGUGGUUUAAUUCGAUGAUACGCGAGGAACCUUACCCGGGCUUGAAAGUUAGUGACGAUUCUGGAAACAGGAUUUCCCUUCGGGGCACGAAACUAGGUGCUGCAUGGUUGUCGUCAGCUCGUGCCGUGAGGUGUCGGGUUAAGUCCCAUAACGAGCGCAACCCCUACCGUUAGUUGCCAUCAGGUCAAGCUGGGCACUCUGGCGGGACUGCCGGUGUAAGCCGAGAGGAAGGUGGGGAUGACGUCAAAUCAGCACGGCCCUUACGUCCGGGGCUACACACGUGUUACAAUGGCAGGUACAGAGAGACGGUCCCUUGCAAAACGGAUCAAAUCCUUAAAGCCUGUCUCAGUUCGGACUGGGGUCUGCAACCCGACCCCACGAAGCUGGAUUCGCUAGUAAUCGCGCAUCAGCCAUGGCGCGGUGAAUACGUUCCC
rnacentral:rRNA from 1 species